GUAGGUGGCAAGCGUUGUCCGGAAUUAUUGGGCGUAAAGCGCGCGCAGGGCGGUUCUUUAAGUCUGAUGUGAAAGCCCACGGCUCAACCGUGGAGGGUCAUUGGAAACUGGAGAACUUGAGUACAGAAGAGGAAAGCGGAAUUCCACGUGUGGCGGUGAAAUGCGUAGAGAUGUGGAGGAACACCGGUGGCGAAGGCGGCUUUCUGGACUGUAACUGACGCUGAGGCGCGAAAGCGUGGGGAGCAAACAGGAUUAGAUACCCUGGUAGUCCACGCCGUAAACGAUGAGUGCUAAGUGUUAGGGGGUUUCCGCCCCUUAGUGCUGCAGCUAACGCAUUAAGCACUCCGCCUGGGGAGUACGGCCGCAAGGCUA
rnacentral:rRNA from 1 species